rnacentral:lncRNA from 1 species
CCGCUAUUGAAGCAUCCUGGUCUUCCACAACACCUCAGCAGUGCCACAGCCUGAUAGCUUCCAUGCCACACCGCAUUGAGGCAGUAAUUGCUGCAAAAGGGGCCCAAACAAAGUACUGAGUCCAUAUGCAUGCUUAUACUUUUCAGAGGUCCGAUAUUGUUCUAUGUACACUCCUUGUUUUAUUGAUUGCAUGUAAUAUUCUAAUUUACUGGGAUUGUGGAUUUGGGGUUUUCAUGCGCUGUAAGCCAUAAUCAUCGCAC